UCAAGUUAAUGCAUAUAUUUAUAUAGGGGAUGAUUAUGGUGUCGAUAGUUUUUUGUCAGCACUGGUGUUGAUAAAAUUUAGUUUCGGCAUGUUGAUAUGUUAUAUACUUUUAUUUUUUAAUGUUAUUUUAUAUUGUAAUCAUUUAGACCGUCUUACAAAUUUUCAAAACAAUUUGAAUAAUUUAUUGUGUUAAAAACAAGGUUCAAACAGCUGAAUUUCAUAUUUGUGUUUGUUUUUUUGUAUGUAAGUGUGUAAUAAGUUGUUUGAAUCUUGUUUUUAGUACUGAAAAUUAUUCGUAAUUUUUAAAAAAUUUAUGAGAUGUUCUAAUAAAUGACUACAAUAUACACAGUUAUAACUAUUCACGUAACGAAACUAAAUUUUGUCAAUGCUAGUGUUGACAAAACACCGACGACACCAUAAUCAUACCUUAUGUAAUAUAUAUUUGAUUAUUUAAUUGGUUGUUGGUCCUUGAAGAGUUGAUGAAUUACAUAUAAUAAAGAUGUUUCUAGCUAGCAAAGUGGUAGAUGGACACACUUGUUGGCUUCUUCAGUCGAAUUAGUGCUCAUGUCGGCAGUAUAAUUAGCAAGGAGCAUUAGAAAAGCUUGCUAUUGAUUGGAAAAGGAAAGUUUUGACAUCAACUUGUGUGAUAAGACGACAUUGAAGUGCAUUGAUGAGCAGAUGAGAAAGGAAUGGAGAGGACACAAGUAUAAGCUUCACACUUAUUUCAAGGAGAUUGGAGGAGAAAGAGAUGUUGAGUUAGCUAAGAGGAAGCCCCAUCCAGAGUUAAAGGUUAAUCAACAUCGAGAUUGGGAGAUUUUAUGUGAUUAUUGGACGUCAGAGAAAUUUUAGGAAUGGUCAACAAAGAACACAGAGAGUCGAUCAAAGAGAAAGUGGGGAUCAAGAAAUGGGUCAGUUUCCACUCCACGACAUCACAUUCGUAGAGGAGUUGUGUUGACAGCACCCAGUGGUCAAAUUGAGACAUGGAGACCGAAGCAUUGUGAUCCUCACAAUGGAUGGAUAGCCCCAGAGCUUGAGGAGAUCAAUGAUCGUAUGAUGACUUUACGAAAUGAGCAUCCUCCAGAAGUAUUGUCUGAUAAGGAUAUCAUGGAGCGUGUUCUUGGGUAGAAUUCUGUUCGCCUACGAGGGUGGGGGCGCUCACCUGCUUCCACAACCACUUCUGAAACUAAUUCAAGUGGUUGCAGACGCCCGACGUAUGAUGAGUUACAUGAGCAACUUCAAGAGGUUUUGAAGGGUCUUAAUGAGUGUCGACAAGUGCUAAAAGACAACAAUCUCAUGCCACCUUCAAGACAUGGCACGUCUAUGUCCGAUCCGAAUUCAGAUCAUGAUGAUACACAUGGUGUUCCCUCUCAAGAGUUUUCAGAGUAUUAUGAUGACUUGUAGUAUGUGUUUUGGAGACUACUAGCUAGGAUACUUGUCAUAUACAUGUGCUUUAGAUAUUACUGUGACACUUAGUAUAUGUGUUUUAGAGAUUGUAAUGACUUAGUAUUUGUGUUCUAUACUUUGAUAUGAGAGAAUUUAGUCUUUGUAUUCUACUGGUUACCUUGAUGACUUAUUAUUAGUUUGUAUUCUAUAAAUUACUCUUA